rnacentral:tRNA from 1 species
GCCUCGUUGGUCUAGGGGUAUGAUUCUCGCUGGUGCUGGGAGGUCCCGGGUUCAAAUCCCGGAUGAGCCC